CUCUCCCUUUAAGAGCGGGGGGAGGGUGCAUUUACUCCUCCUGCUGCUUCCCCCCCCCACCUGCAUCAGUUUUUUUAGCAGCCCAUGGAGGCGGCAGAGUAUCUCCCUGCCACCCCGUUGCCCUCCUCUUCCAGAUAUGACCGGAAGUUGCUGUGCACAACCCUAGACACUGAGAGAGAAAAAACCUGAGACUGAGAAGGGGUCCUGCACGCUGUCUGGGGCAGGCAGCACCACGCGGCGCAUGCUGUUGGUCGGCGCUCCCGGGGAGGCAGCGACGGACGUGAUGAGGCAGUCGCCCUCCGGCAGGCAGACGCUGUACACCUGCUCACCGCCAUUGUAGAAGACAGACAGCCGGAUGGAGAAGUCGGCUAGGAACGGAGGAAAGGGAGAAAUAUUCUGCUCAGAGGAAGCUCUCGGGACCAGACCUGACACCACAGAGACAUUUUAAAGGGGACUAAAAAAGCCUGUGGAAGGGAAGUGUGGCGGCUCAGAUCCUCACCAGCCCGCUGCUCCUCCAACGGAACCAGGCGAUACACCUUGUAAGGCUCUGCGAUGCUCAGCCGGGAGCGCUCCGGCACCUCCUUGAACUCGGGGCUCUUGCUCAGGGCGCAGCGGACACGCGUCUUCCAUGUGGCAGGGUCCACAUGCUCCCCUUCGCGGUACUUCCCCUUGAAGAUGGCCCACGCCUGAGAAGAGACGUUGGAGCGGAUCAAUUUUCACCAGGGCGGAGGGGGCCGAGUUCUCCUGGAGGCCACGGACCCAGCCCAGGCGUGGAGAAGCCUGCAGGUGUGUGUCCCCAGCAAGCUUAGCCACACUGGAUUCUGAGUAGCAUGCUGGAUUCUAGGGACCCGUGUUCCCUUCUAACAGGGAAUCCCAGACGUUGUUGACUACA